GCUCAGAUAGCUCAGUCGGUAGAGCAGAGGACUGAAAAUCCUCGUGUCGCUGGUUCGAGUCCGGCUCUGAGCACCA
rnacentral:tRNA from 1 species